ensembl:snRNA U2 U2 spliceosomal RNA
AUUGCUUCUUGGCCUUUUGGCUAAGAUCAAGUGUAAAAUGUGGACCACAUAUGUGAUUUUAGUAGCCAUGUUAUAAAUAAGUGAAAAUUUUUUUUAAACUGCAUAUCCUUU